rnacentral:rRNA from 1 species
AUUGAACGCUGGCGGCAUGCUUUACACAUGCAAGUCGAACGGCAGCGCGGGCUUCGGCCUGGCGGCGAGUGGCGAACGGGUGAGUAAUACAUCGGAACGUGCCCAGUAGUGGGGGAUAGCUCGGCGAAAGCCGGAUUAAUACCGCAUACGACCUGAGGGUGAAGCGGGGGAUCUUCGGACCUCGCGCUAUUGGAGCGGCCGAUGGCAGAUUAGCUAGUUGGUGGGGUAAAGGCCUACCAAGGCGACGAUCUGUAGCUGGUCUGAGAGGACGACCAGCCACACUGGGACUGAGACACGGCCCAGACUCCUACGGGAGGCAGCAGUGGGGAAUUUUGGACAAUGGGCGAAAGCCUGAUCCAGCAAUGCCGCGUGUGUGAUGAAGGCCUUCGGGUUGUAAAGCACUUUUGGCGGGAACGAAAAGGACUGUGCCAAUACCACGGUUCGAUGACGGUACCCGCAGAAUAAGCACCGGCUAACUACGUG